rnacentral:rRNA from 1 species
GUCCACGCCGUAAACGAUGUGUGCUAGACGUUGGGGAGCCUAGCUCUUCGGUGUCGCAGCUAACGCGGUAAGCACACCGCCUGGGGAGUACGGCCGCAAGGUUAAAACUCAAAGGAAUUGACGGGGGCCCCGCACAAGCGGUGGAGCAUGUGGUUUAAUUCGACGCAACGCGAAGAACCUUACCAGCCCUUGACAUGUCCGGUAUGGGCCGUGGAGACGCGGUCCUUCAGUUCGGCUGGCCGGAGCACAGGUGCUGCAUGGCUGUCGU